CGGGCGGUGCGCGGCCACUUAACGGUCCUCGUUCCUGUGCUCUUUGGGGCGGGGUGCGUCUGUGGGGCUGUGCUGAACGCGGCCAGCAGGAUGGAGCCGGCAGGCCUGAGUGUUUCAGUGAAUUAAAUCCUCUUUGAUGAAUCUUGCCUGGCACAAGUCACAAGAAGCCUUGAUGAUGAUGUUAGCCACUCCUAUGAAGCACCACGGCAGCUCUUUUCUUUUCAAGUGAAAAAUAGUAAUUUUCCACAGGAAAAAGCACUUGGUCCAGAAAGUUGCUUCUCAGAAAGGAUUCCAGUGAGUAGAAUCUGCAAUUUCGAGGGUGGCAUGUAUCCUGAUGCCUAUAAAAACAAAUGAACAAAAAAACAC
rnacentral:lncRNA from 1 species